GCAAGUCGAACGGGAAUUAUUUUAUUGAAACUUCGGUCGAUUUAAUUUAAUUCUAGUGGCGGACGGGUGAGUAACGCGUGGGUAACCUGCCUUAUACAGGGGGAUAACAGUCAGAAAUGGCUGCUAAUACCGCAUAAGCGCACAGAGCUGCAUGGCUCAGUGUGAAAAACUCCGGUGGUAUAAGAUGGACCCGCGUUGGAUUAGCUAGUUGGUGGGGUAACGGCUCACCAAGGCGACGAUCCAUAGCCGGCCUGAGAGGGUGAACGGCCACAUUGGGACUGAGACACGGCCCAGACUCCUACGGGAGGCAGCAGUGGGGAAUAUUGCACAAUGGGGGAAACCCUGAUGCAGCGACGCCGCGUGAAGGAAGAAGUAUCUCGGUAUGUAAACUUCUAUCAGCAGGGAAGAUAGUGACGGUACCUGACUAAGAAGCCCCGGCUAACUACGUGCCAGCAGCCGCGGUAAUACGUAGGGGGCAAGCGUUAUCCGGAUUUACUGGGUGUAAAGGGAGCGUAGACGGUGUGGCAAGUCUGAUGUGAAAGGCAUGGGCUCAACCUGUGGACUGCAUUGGAAACUGUCAUACUUGAGUGCCGGAGGGGUAAGCGGAAUUCCUAGUGUAGCGGUGAAAUGCGUAGAUAUUAGGAGGAACACCAGUGGCGAAG
rnacentral:rRNA from 1 species